CAGCACCUCAAGUGGUCAGGAUGAUUAUUGGGCCUAAAGCAUCCGUAGCCUGCUUUGUUAGUUUUCGGUUAAAUCCAUACGCUCAACGUAUGGGCUGCCGGGAAUACUGCAAAGCUAGGGAGUGGGAGAGGUAGACGGUACUCGGUAGGAAGGGGUAAAAUCCUUUGAUCUACUGAUGACCACCUGUGGCGAAGGCGGUCUACCAGAACACGUCCGACGGUGAGGGAUGAAAGCUGGGGGAGCAAACCGGAUUAGAUACCCGAGUAGUCC
rnacentral:rRNA from 1 species